UGACUGCCUUUUACUGGCUAAAUACAAAGCAAUGUCUUGCUGAUACUCCUUGUGGAAGCUGACGUACUUUGAUAUAUGCAUUUUUGAAGUUAUAAAAAUGAGGAAGUGAAAAAAUAUACGUGAAACAAGAUAACUUCCUGACUAUUGAAUAUAUUUCCAUUCUUAAAAGCAAAACCUUUGUUUUGCUCACUCUAUGUGAAUACUUCCUGUGACAAGAAACUUAGUACUCACAAUGCAGCUUAUCCUCUUUUAAAAACUGCAACUGCUGAGCCUUGAGGAUAAGGUGUUAAAAACUAUUGGGAAUGCAAAGGACACAAGCAGCAGAGUGAAAAAGCAACCUACAGAAUGGGAAAGAACAUUUGCAAAUCAUAUAUGUGAUAGGGAGUUAAUAUCUAGAAUAUAUAAAAUUCUGCAACUCAGCAAAAACAAAGUUCUGGAGAUUGGUUGUGCAAUAUUGUGAAUACAGUUUACACUACUGGACUGUAAAAUGGUUAAUAUAUUAAACUUUAUAUUAUAUGUAUUUAAACACAAUUUUUUUAAAAGUCAGCACCACAAUAAAAACAAUCAAAAUACGGUUUAGUUAUAUGGGAGACGUGUAAAAGCAAUUGCAAGACAAGAAAAAUUAACAGGUGGGACCUAAUUAAACUAAAGAGCUUCUUCACAGUGAAAGAAACUAUCAACAGAGCCAAAAGACAAUCUACAGAACGGGAGAAGAUAUUCACAAACUAUGCAUGUGACAAACGUUUCACAUCCAGGAUCUAUAAGGAACUUAAACACUUCAACAAGCAAAAAACAAGUAACCCCAUAAAAAAGUGAGCAAAGGACAUUAACAGACACUUCUCAAAAGAAGACAUACUAGCAGUCGACAAACAUAUGAAAAAAAGCUCAACAUUGCUAAUCAUCAGAGAAACACAAGUCAAAACCACAAUGAGAUACCAUCUCAAACCAGUCAGAAUGGCUGUUAUUAAAAAGUAAAGGAAAUAGAUGUUGGUGAGGCUACAGAGAAAAGGCAAUGCUUGUAACUGUUAGUGGUAAUGUAAAGCAGUUCAGCCACUAUGAAAAGCAGUUUGGAGAUUUGUCGAAAAAAUUAAAAUAGAACCAUUUGACCCAGCAAUGUUGUUACUGGGUAUAUAUCCAAAGUAAAAGAAAUUGUUUUACCCAAAAGACACAUGCACUUGUAUGUUCAUCGCAGUGCUGUUAGCAAAGAUGUGGAAUCAACAUUAGUGCCCAUUAAUGGUGGAUUGGAUAAGGAAAAUGUGGUACAUAUAUACUAUGGAAUACUAUACAGCCAUUUAAAAGAAGGAACUCACGUCCUUUGCAGCAACAUGUAUGCAGCUGGAGACCAUUAUCCUAAGAAAAUUAAUGCAGAAACAGAAAGCCAAAUACCACAUGUUCUCACUUAGAAAUGGGAGCUAAAAAUUGGGUACACGUGGACCUAAAGAUGGGAAUGAUAGACAUUGGGAACUACUACAGGGGGUUGGAGGGAAGGGGGCAAGGGUUGAAAAACUACCUAUUAGGUACUAUGUUCACUACCUGGCAGAUGGGAUCAGUCAUACCCCAAACCUCAGCAUCAUGCAAUAUACCCAUGUAACAAACCUGCAUGUGUACCCCUGAAUCUAAAAUAAAAGUUGAAAUAUGAGAGAA